AACAGGGCGACGCCGGGAAUCACUUUCGCGAACACAUCAGAAGCAUAAUGCUACAUAUGCCGGGCCAACAUGUCGCCACCCACUUCAACUCUGUGAAUCAGUCUAUUGCAGAUUUAUCAAUAGCAUAUAUAU